GGCCCAGUGGUGUAAUGGUUAGCAAGUCUCUGAACUAUUGGGCUGCAGUCAUGAUUUUCAGAGGAAGGUCCUUGUUCGACUCAGGGCUAGGCCA